rnacentral:rRNA from 1 species
CCUACGGGAGGCAGCAGUAGGGAAUCUUUCUAAAUGGGGGAAACCCUGAAGCAGCAACGCCGCGUGGAGGAUGAAGGUUUUAGGAUUGUAAACUCCUUUUGUUAGAGAAGAUUAUGACGGUAUCUAACGAAUAAGCACCGGCUAACUCCGUGCCAGCAGCCGCGGUAAUACGGAGGGUGCAAGCGUUACUCGGAAUCACUGGGCGUAAAGAGUGCGUAGGCGGGGUAAUAAGUCAGAUGUGAAAUCCUGUGGCUUAACUACAGAACUGCAUUUGAAACUGUUACUCUGGAGUGUGGGAGAGGUAGGUGGAAUUCUUGGUGUAGGGGUAAAAUCCGUAGAGAUCAAGAGGAAUACUCAUUGCGAAGGCGACCUGCUGGAACAUUACUGACGCUGAUGCACGAAAGCGUGGGGAGCAAACGGGAUUAGAUACCCCGGUAGUC